AUUCAUAAACUUUUUUGACAAAAAAAAACUGAGAGUGCAGGCUCUUCCACCUUGCCCUGAAAACAAGUUGGAGCCGCUGAAACACUCUACUGCCCGGAAAUCGUUGCCGGAGUUGCUCGUCAACCGCCACUAAAACUUCGUCCAGAGGAAAAGUAUAUUGUAGCUGUUCACGACAGAAAUGAGAUUCGCAGGAGCUCUCAGGAACAUUUUACGGCCUCUCUCACUCUCCUCCUCAACGCCUCUAACUUCACAAAUCUCCACCACACUUCCAUUUCAUGCACCUUUCCCAUCUUACAGCAAACCACCCCAAUUCCUUCUACCCUUUUUGAAUCACUUUCACACCUUGACUGACACUCGGUUUCCCAAGAGACGACCUUCCGAUAAGCCUCGUCGAAAGCGGGCUAGCUUGAGACCCUCUGGGCCUUAUGCUUGGGUUGAGCACACAACUGGUGAAACCAUACUUCCCAAUAAGCCUAAUGAAGGGAGUGUCAAGAGGAGGAAUGAGAAGAAACGCAUGAGGCAGCGCCGUGCCUUUAUACUCG